rnacentral:rRNA from 1 species
GAUGAACGCUGGCGGCGUGCCUAAUACAUGCAAGUCGAGCGAACGGACGCGAAGCUUGCUUCUCUGAUGUUAGCGGCGGACGGGUGAGUAACACGUGGAUAACCUACCUAUAAGACUGGGAUAACUUCGGGAAACCGUAGCUAAUCCCGGAUAAUAUUUUGAACCGCAUGGUUCAAAAGUGAAAGACGGUCUUGCUGUCACUUAUAGAUGGAUCCGCGCUGCAUUAGCUAGUUGGUAAGGUAACGGCUUACCAAGGCAACGAUGCAUAGCCGACCUGAGAGGGUGAUCGGCCACACUGGAACUGAGACACGGUCCAGACUCCUACGGGAGGCAGCAGUAGGGAAUCGUCCGCAAUGGGCGAAAGCCUGACGGAGCAACGCCGCGUGAGUGAUGAAGGUCUUCGGAUCGUAAAACUCUGUUAUUAGGGAAGAACAUAUGUGUAAGUAACUGUGCACAUCUUGACGGUACCGAAUCAGAAAGCCACGGCUAACUACGUG